GGUCGAUAUUUAAAUUGUUAUUUAUAGAUGAAAUGUCACCUGGACAUGGGAGUCCAUGCAAUGCCGUUAGAUUUACUGGCGAAACCAGUAGAGCUAAUUUUAUUCAGAUUGCAUCAUAUAUAUGUCAAUCUCGAUAUGUAGAAAACAGGAUUGCCACUAAUAUCGUUAAAGUAUCCCAGUUAAAAGCCUGGAUAUUGCAUUUCGCAUUCCAGUAGGUUCAUGGUGGCCAUUUUGGAUUUAGGAUUUAUAUGUAAUAUUUCAUAGAACCCGGGUAUUCCUUCAUCCAAGGAAACAAAUAUUUAUGCAUUUCCUUUGGGUUCGAGUGUGAGCCAGAACCAUGAGAAUUAGGUGAGCUAUGUGAGCCAUAACUGGGUUUGAGCGAUGACACGGAUGUAACCAGCAGAACUGUAGGAGAACCAUGUGCAAGAGAUGUCUACAGGCUAGUGUGGAGACCAACUGUUGUUAGGUUGUCUGCAAAAGAUGUCAACAGCCAACCAGCCAAGACGUGCUAGUGUCUGGUCGUCACCAAGAUAUACACACAGUAUUCGUGAUGACAGUAAAUUUUAGACGAGUUAAUACUGAUAAAAACUGAACUGGUUUGAAAAGAUUCUUUUACUAAGGUUCAUAUCAGAGACAUUGACCGACUAGAAGUUAGUUGGCUCAAACUGGCAAACCAUGUACACCGGAUUACUUCUUUUUUCUUUUUUUUUUGUCGUUUGUUUUUGUUUUGUUUUGUUUUGGGGUUUUUGUAUUUGUUGUUUUUUGGGGGAGGAGGUAGUUUGAGGUUGGGGUAGUGUUGUGUUGUGUUGGGGUGAUAUCAUACAUUUUUUAUAUUCAUAUUUUAGUAUAUAAAUUUGUUAAAAUGUU